UUAGGAAUUUUGCGCAAUGGAAGAAAUUCUGACGCAGCAACGCCGCGUGAGGGAUGAAGGCCUUCGGGUCGUAAACCUCAUUUAGUGGGGAAAAACAUAAUGAUGGUACCCACAGAAAAAGCACCGGCGAACUCUGUGCCAGCAGCCGCGGUAAUACAGAGGGUGCUAGCGUUAUUCGGAAUCACUGGGCGUAAAGGGCGCGUAGGCGGCCUGGUUAGUCUGAUGUGAAAGCCCUGGGCUCAAUCCAGGAAGUGCAUCGGAUACUGCUAGGCUUGGAGUAUGGGAGAGGAGGACGGAAUUCCUGGUGUAGAGGUGAAAUUCGUAGAUAUCAGGAGGAACAACAGUGGCGAAGGCGGUUCUCUGGACCAUUACUGACGCUGAGGCGCGAAAGCGUGGGGAGCAAACA
rnacentral:rRNA from 1 species